GCCAAUGCCGGGACUUCCGGCUCUUGGCUCAGGGUGGCUGCUCGGCGUGGAGUCCGCGAAGAGAGGGGUCGGACACUAGCUGAGACCCGCAGGCAGCCGCAGAGCACGCUCAGGGCUAAAGUAGCCGCACCCGCUGUCUAGGAAACGGUUACCUGAGCGGUUGUCAGGACACAACGACCCAGACGCCAGAGCCAACGCCAAACGGGUAGAGGCCUCUCGAGCGCCCUUAACCACCGGCAUUUGACUCGCAGCCCGCGGCGAGACUUCGGCCUGGAGCCCCCGCGCGGAGCGACGCCGACGCCGAACACAUUUAUUCUUAUUUCGAAUGAGCCAUUUUUUCCCCACUGGAAAACCUCCCUUCAAUUAGAAAGAUGAAUUUCAAAGGUUCUGAAGAGUGGGUUAGCAACUUUCGUCAGAGUCAUCUUGGAAAGGUGAAAUUGAUGGUUCCAUAGGGGAAAAAAAAUUGGUUUCCCAAUCUGCUUCUGAAAAGGAAUUCUUCUGGCUGAAUAGGUUGGUAGCUUGAGUCGAGUAACCUUCCUUGGGACGGGCUGCAUUCUUCUGCUGUUUGAUCCAUGGAAUCUUGGCCAUUUUUAGGGCAGCCUAAGAGUGUGAGUCUGCUCUGGGACAUAUCGAGAGGCUGUGCUGUACAUGGCAGUCCUUGGGCAGUUGGUCGCGAUAAGGAUGUUGAUGCAGACAACGUUCCAUGUGGUUCCCCUGGAGUUAGCUGUACUCCUCUGGGAAGCCCCCAGGUGACCAUUCUUUCAGAGUCCUCCGGAGGAUGUGAAAAACCAGGAAAGCCUCCCUAAGGUCACACCUGCCUGAAUCUGGUAUCCAUCUGGGUACAUUCAGUCUCUGGGGACAUCUGCUGGCCUAGGUUUAUGGGUUGAUGGACAAUCAGUGGAUAAUGGAAUCGGAAGCCUUAAAUCAGACAACUUUCCAGGUCUAAUCCAAGCCCUUCAUGCUAUUGAUGAGGAGAUGGAGUCCCAGUUUAUGUAUUGAAGAACCUGGGCCGUUUGACCCACGGAGUGGUUCUCAAUCUGGAUUUGGCUGAUUGGGCACUCAUGUUGCAGGUUAACAUGCUCCUCGGUUUUCUGACCUCCUAGAAGUUGGCAGCUGGAUCCAGAAGCUUCAACAGCCUCAGGUUCAGCCUCCUGGGCUGGCGGAUUGUAGGAUCCAAGUAAAUUCUAGUGGGCAAGAGGAAGAGAAGAGAAACUACAACAUCAUUAUCUUACUGCUGGAGGCAGCAGAUUACGGACCCCUGACUGUGAUGUGUCAAAUGCACUGUGUGACAACCAAGACCCUACACAUCUGGGGGGCACUUCAGGAUUCCUCCAGGCGGCAGUUGCUGGCCUAGACUCACUUCUUCAGGAGGGAGGUUCGCCCUGGAAAAGCUGAUUUGCAUUUCUGCUGGGAUCGAUGCCGUGGAGACUGAAUACAUUGAGGUCUCCAGGUGAAAGAAGAAAGCUUAACCUGGCUUCUGAAUUCCAAGAGCACACGGCAAAGUGGGUCUAAAUCAACGUCUGGUUAUGAAGGGCCUAGAGCCAGAUAGGAGCUUCUUACAGCUUUUGGCAGUUUCUGGUGGAGGCCAGCUCUCCUUGUCAUCUACCUUGGCCUGAGAAGCCUGUUCCCCUCUGCAGAGGAUGAGCUCAGGGCUACACCUUUCCUUCCAGGCUCUCAUGGUGUGGUCCAGGCUCCAUUUCUUUCUCUUUGAACCUCACUUCAACAUGAUUAGAGUGACUGAAGGUAAAGAAAUAGGAACUGUUUUACCGUAAAUAAAUUAGUCCCUGCUACACUUUUUCUCUGUGUUGUUUCAUCACAUG
rnacentral:lncRNA from 1 species